rnacentral:rRNA from 1 species
GGUAGUGUAUUGGACUACCAAGUCGAUCACGGGUAACGGAGAAUUAGGGUUCGAUUCCGGAGAGGGAGCCUGAGAAACGGCUACCACAGCUACGGUAGGCAGCAGGUGCGUAAAUUACCCAAUCCAAAAUCUGGAAGGUAGUUACAGGAAAUUUGUUGCAUAGGCUUCUAGCCUAGACACAAACGAACACAUGUACGUAUUGUGUGUUUAAUUGGAGGGCAAGUUUUGGUGCCGGCAGCCGCGGUAAUUCCAGCUCCAAUAGCGUAUAUUAAAGUUGUUGCAGUUGAAAAGCUCGUAGUUGGAUUUCUGAGGGGGUGCCAAUGUCCGCUCGUUGCGUGUGCAGCGGCGCCCCCUCAUCCUUCUGUUAACGUUUCUGAUAUUCACUUAUUGGUCUCGGGCUCAGAUAUUUUACCUUGAGAAAAUUAGAGUGUUCCAGGCAGGCUCGCGCCGGAAUACAUUAGCAUGGAAUAAUAGAAUAGGACUUUAGUCUCCUUUGUUGGUUUGAGGGACUGAAGUAAUGAUUAAUAGGGAUAGUUGGGGGCAUUAGUAUUUAAUUGUCAGAGGUGAAAUUCUCGGAUUUGUUAAAGACUAACUUAUGCGAAAGCAUUUGCCAAGGAUGUUUUCA